rnacentral:lncRNA from 1 species
UCAUUAGUAUGGACAUUCUUUGAGAUGUUGUCUAUUGGUGAAGAUAAAAAAAAAUAUAUAAGUGUAAGAAAUAUGGAUUGGUUUAUCUUGCUGAAAGUAAAUAUGAAACUGGUAAUUUGAAGCGACUUAUGAACACAUGCAUGAGAAGGGACAUAUGCGAUAUAGGUCAGUUACUCAUAGCACAAGAUAGUGGAUCAAUGUCUUUAUCUGCUUCUAAAUUAAAUCACGAAAAGUUUAGGAAGUUGUUGAUUGCAGCAAUUAUCAUAUAUUAUCUUUCUUUUCACUUUGUUGAAUAGGUAGGUGUAACAUCAGCUUUUCAAUAUCUUCAAAAAGAUUUGAAUUUAGUGAGUAAGAAUACUUGUAAGGCUAGCUGUUUCAAAUUAUAUAAGAGGGAGAGGGAAAGUGUUAGGGUCCCGAACCUGAGAUCGAGUUAGGGGUCUUUCGUGGAGGGAAGUGGAAGGUGUUCGUGAGGGUGAGGACAUGGUGUUCUUUUUGCGACCUAUCUUGAGAAAUUAGAAGACUCAAUUAGAGGGAAUCUCAAACCUCUGAGUUAAAGUACUCAAAACUGUAAUGAUUUCCAAGUUGAUCUCUUCAUUGAUAAUUAUUGAAUAUUUAUACAGGAUGUAAACCACCCUUU